rnacentral:misc_RNA from 1 species
AAGUCGUAACAAGGUUUCCGUAGGUGAACCUGCGGAAGGAUCAUUAGUGAAAAACAGGGUGUCUUCGGACCCCAACCUCUCACAUCCACACACACCUGUGCACUUGUUGGCUUGAAGGACGAGAAGUUUACUUCUCCGACUUCGAGUCCUUUUCAUCACACACUCUUUGUCCUUUGGAUGUAACCUUCUAUCGCUGUAAUAGCGUCGAAAUCAAAUAAAACUUUUAACAACGGAUCUCUUGGCUCUC